AGAAGGAAAGCUAAGAAUUCACUGAUUUCCGCUGUUGUUGAAACCAAAACAAGUGAGGACAAUGUUGAAUCAACUUCAACAUUAGUAGCAACCACAAGCAAGGAAGGAUAUCCAAACGAAGCAGACGAUUGGCUGUGGUAUUAGGCGAAGGAAUUUGUACUACUUGGACAUGCAAUCGAAUACUUCUUCCAAGUUGCAUCAUGCGUUUGCAAUGGAUGGUCCAAAGAA